GAUCAUGGCUCAGGAUGAACGCUAGCGGCAGGCUUAAUACAUGCAAGUCGAGGGGCAGCGGGAGUAGCAAUACUUGCCGGCGACCGGCGCACGGGUGCGUAACGCGUAUACAAUUUGCCUUAUACAGGGAGAUAGCCCGGAGAAAUUCGGAUUAAUAUCCCAUAAUAUUGUGUAAUCGCCUGAUUAUAUAAUUAAAGCUACGGCGGUAUAAGAUGAGUAUGCGUCUGAUUAGCUAGUUGGUGAGGUAACGGCCUACCAAGCCGACGAUCAGUAGGGGGCGUGAGAGCGUGGCCCCCCACACGGGUACUGAGACACGGACCCGACUCCUACGGGAGGCAGCAGUAAGGAAUAUUGGACAAUGGACGAAAGUCUGAUCCAGCCAUCCCGCGUGCAGGAUGACUGCCCUAUGGGUUGUAAACUGCUUUUGGAAGGGAAGAAACGCCUGGAUUUAUCCGGGCCUGACGGUACCUUCAGAAUAAGCACCGGCUAACUCCGUG
rnacentral:rRNA from 1 species